AAAAAAAAAAAGAAAACGAAAAAUGAAGCACCGAAUGUCGUCUGAAUCUAUACUCUCGGUCUUAACGGAGGAUUUACUCGUUCGGGUCAAUGACAAACUCAGUGACGAGUCAGAUCGCAAAAGGUGGCGACUCGUUUGCAAAGAAUUCCUCCGAGUCGAUAUCCUAACUCGUAAAACUCUCCGUGUCCUCCGCGUCGAGUUCCUAGCGGCUCUUCUUCGCAAGCACAGUAACAUUGAUACCCUGGACCUCUCCGUGUGUUCAAGUAUUGACGACGGGAUGAUUUCUCUUCUGCUGAGUUGUGAGCCUGAGGGAUGGGCUCGGAAGCUGAAAUCUUUGAACUUGAGUAGGGCCACCGGACUGAAAUUCUCGGGGCUGGAGAUGCUGGUUCGGGCGUGCCCGUUUCUGGAGCGGGUCGACGUGUCGUAUUGUUGCAGUUUCGGAGACAGGGAGGCGGCGGCCAUAUCGUGUGCUGGAGGGUUGAGAGAGCUGACGAUGGACAAGUGCUUGGGAGUGAGUGAUGUUGGGUUAGCGAAGAUUGCUGUGGGUUGUGGGAAAUUGAAGAGGCUAAGCUUGAAGUGGUGCAUGGAAAUAUCUGAUCUGGGUGUUGGUCUUUUGUGCAAGAAGUGCCUCGACUUGAAGUAUCUUGAUGUGUCUUAUCUAAAGGUGACAAGUGAAUCGCUCCGUUCUAUUGCCUCUUUGCCAAAGCUGGAGGUUUUGGCUAUGGUGGCCUGCCCCUUGGUGGAUGAUGUGGGAUUACAAUUUCUUGAAAAUGCUUGUCCUUCACUACAGGCAAUUGAUGUGUCAAGGUGUGAUUGUUUGAGUUCGUCCAGCUUCAUUUCCAUAAUUAGAGUACAUAGUGGACUUAGGCAGAUAAACGCUGCUUACUGCUUUUCAGAACUUUCCCCAGCCCUUCUCCACUGCAUGAAGGACUUGAAGAAUCUGAGCACGAUUAUAAUUAAUGGUGCUCUUGUUUCAGACACUAUUUUCACGACCAUGAGUAGCUAUUUUAGGUCUUUGGCUGAAAUUGGAUUGACCAAAUGCAUAGGGGUGACCAAUAUGGGCAUUAUUCAGCUUGUCUCGGGCUGUGUCAAUUUAAAGAGCCUCAAUUUAGCAUGUUGUCAUUCUAUAACUGAUGCUGCAAUUUCUGCUAUAGCAGACUCUUGUAGGAACCUUGUGUGCCUGAAGUUAGAGACUUGCAAUAUGAUCACUGAGGAGGGUGUUGAACAGCUUGGAUCACAUUGCUUACUGCUUGAGGAGCUUGAUCUUACUGAUUGUAGUGGCAUAAAUGACAAAGGGCUUGAAUACCUCUCUAGAUGUUCAAGACUUCUAUGCUUGAAAUUAGGAGUUUGUGCAAACAUAUCAGACAAAGGACUAUU
rnacentral:misc_RNA from 1 species